rnacentral:ribozyme from 12 species
AAAACUUGCGUAAGUGGUUUUGUGUAUAGUAUAUAUAAAGCUUGCACGAACGUUUCCGAUGAAAGAUUAUGCUGGUGACGACAAUUUUUCGGAUGGUGGUGUGUUCUUCACAAACUAAAA